GGGCGCUUAGCUCAGACGGUAGAGCAUCUGACUUUUAAUCAGAGGGUCACAGGUUCGAGUCCUGUAGCGCCUACCA
rnacentral:tRNA from 1 species